AAAAGCAUUAUUAUUUAAUUAUGCAUUAUUCUUAGCAGUAUAGGGUUUUCCUUUGUGUUCAUAUCAAUUUACCCAUUUUCAUCCACAGACACCCCUAUCUGAACGACCCCAUGCAGUAAACUUCAAAGCUUUGAAGGGAAACACUGAUGUUCCUCACUCCCCGUGGAGUAAAGGCCCUGCCUCAUCCCCAUGCAGUCGGUUUGAUGUUUGUCCUACCAGAGUCUUCAUCCACCUGGGAGUUUGAGGUUUCAAACAUCAGAUGGAAUUUUACAGUGUCGCUACCCAAAGGACAGAGCAUGAACCUGAAUUUAGGAAAAACUAAAUGUUUCACAGUAUGUGUAUCUACAUACGCAGUAUAGCCUAUGAAAUCACUGAAUAUUUAUAAGACCAAGCAAAAAGCUAUUUGUAUGUAUUUUUUCUAAAGUGCUGUGUAACUUUAUUGAAUAAAAUAACUUUUGUGACUGAAGUUUGACCGAACAUUGACAUAUAUAUAUAUAUAUAUAUAUAUAUAUAUACACUCACAAUGAAAAGAAAGUCAAUUUCAUGCAGCACAGCUAGAAAAGUACGUUCUGUGUCAGUAUGUGCCUUUUUUAAAGUAUAUGUACACUAUGUUCCCUACGUUUUUACAUAUUCUAAAAGAGAAAAUGUCCGUGGAAAAUGUAGAAAACAAUGUGAGAGCACCACAGGAUGGUGUUUUCACAGUUAUGCUUGGUUUCCUCCUGCAUGGUGCUAUAAUUUUGACUUAUGCUGUACAAAGCCUUUCACAUGUUCUUGCUCUGCCUGGAUCACAUUCACAUAAGGCAAAUAGAUGCCACCACCACAGCAGGUUUCACGGAUUAAUGUUUCUUUUCUAAUACAUUUCCAACACGUUCAUCGCAUUACCAAUUCUUAAGCUGUUUUCGUGUUCUUGUUACCAUGGACACCAGUUUCCUUCAGGGCUUGGGACAGUUAGACAGUUUGCUAUAGAUAUUGUGCAAUUACAGCUGCCAAAGUGGAAGCCGAGCAUUGAACUAAUGAUGGCAACCGCCAGUGCAUGACUUUGACAGUACAUGGCAACUCAGUUAUGGACUUAUUUUAUUAUCUUAUGCUACUGUUCUGUAUAUUUCCACUUUGUUAUCAUAUAUUAUAGUAGCUGAGUUCCUGUUGUAGUCCUAAGUUCUGUUGUAGUCCUUUUGUCAAUUGUCUUGCCCUAACUGUAGACUUUUCUAUUAAAGGUUUAUUUAAUACAUUGAAGUGCAUUUGGAUUCUGCUCCUCUCCCAGUUAAAAAACAAAUAACUUGCAUCUAUAUACUGCAUGUAGCUUGGCAGGUUGGUCCCAAAUUCCCUCUGCUACUCAGGCAAACGACAUCUUCCUGCCUGUAGGUUGUGCUAUAAUAAGCUCAUUUUGAUCAAUAUCAACACAGCCAUGUAGGCAAGAAACAAAACCAUUUCCUCUUUUGAAUCUUUCCAUUAUGCCUUACAAAACUUAUCUACCCUAUCUUUGUCUGAUUUGCAUGCACAAUGUUUAGUUGGUAGAGGAACACUCUUGAUAAAGUCACCACCACUUGACAGAAGCCUUUUGGAUUGACCAAACUGUUCUCCUAUACUGUGUCGAUAAACUUGACUGUGAAUUUGCCAGAAUGGACUUGAGGCUGUAUCUUUGCAAUGCUUUGGUAUUGACACACGUUUUGGUAUAUGUCAUUAUAAUUAUGACCUGAGGCCACAACCACAUUUUUGAAUAUUGAAUUUGAAUACACAUCAAAUGUGACUAUACCAAAUACAUGUUAUAGUUGACAAUACUUGUUUUCCACUGUACUGAAUUAUAAUAAAACUUUUAUUUUCAAACUU